rnacentral:siRNA from 1 species
CCACAACGGUUUAUUGUCUGC